CCUACGGGAGGCAGCAGUGAGGAAUAUUGGUCAAUGGGCGUAAGCCUGAACCAGCCAAGUCGCGUGAGGGAAGACGGCCCGAUGGGUGGUAAACCUCUGUUGUCAGGGAGCAACGCCGGCUACGUGUAGCCGGACUGAGAGACCCUGAAGAAAAAGCAGCGGCUAACUCCGGGCCGGCAGCCGCGGUAAUACGGAGGACGCGAGGGUUAUCCGGAUUUAUUGGGUUGAAAGGGUGCGAAGGCGGAUUGCCAAGUCAGCGGUAAAAUCGCGGGGCUCAACCGCGCUCCGCCGUUGAAACUGGCGUUCUUGAGUGGGCGAGAAGUCUGCGGAAUGCGUGGUGUAGCGGUGCAAUGCCUAGAUAUCACGCAGAACUCCGAUUGCGAAGGCAGCAUACCG
rnacentral:rRNA from 1 species